GACGAACCGUGCGAACGUUGUUCGGAAUCACUGGGCUUAAAGGGCGCGUAGGCGGGCGGUCAAGUCUGAAGUGAAAUCCUCCAGCUUAACUGGAGAACAGCUUUGGAUACUGGCCGUCUCGAGUGGGGUAGGGGCGUGUGGAACUGUAGGUGGAGCGGUGAAAUGCGUUGAUAUCUACAGGAACGCCGGUGGCGAAAGCGACACGCUGGACCCUUACUGACGCUGAGGCGCGAAAGCCAGGGGAGCAAACGGG
rnacentral:rRNA from 1 species